rnacentral:rRNA from 1 species
AUCGAACGCUAGCGGGAUGCUUUACACAUGCAAGUCGAACGAGGGGCGGACGGGUGAGUAAUAUAACGGAACGUGCCCAGUAGCGGGGGAUAACUACUCGAACGAGUGGCUAAUACCGCCUACUAUUGGAUCGGCCGAUAUCGGAUUAGCGAGUUGGUGGGGUAAAGGCUCACCAAGCCAACGAUCCGUAGCUGGUUUGAGAGGACGACCAGCAACACGGGGACUGAGACACGGCCCAGACUCCUACGGUAGGCAGCAGUGGGGAAUUUUGGGCAAUGGGGGAAACCCUGAUCGAGCCAUCCCGCGUGUAUGAGAAGGCCUUCGGGUUGUAAAGUACUUUUGGCAGAGAAGCGGUAUCUGCAGAAUAAGCACCGGCUAACUACGUGCCAGCAGCCGCGGUAAUUC